UGGUCUUGACAUCCACAGAACUUUCCAGAGAUGGAUUGGUGCCUUCGGGAACUGUGAGACAGGUGCUGCAUGGCUGUCGUCAGCUCGUGUUGUGAAAUGUUGGGUUAAGUCCCGCAACGAGCGCAACCCUUAUCCUUUGUUGCCAGCGAUUAGGUCGGGAACUCAAAGGAGACUGCCAGUGAUAAACUGGAGGAAGGUGGGGAUGACGUCAAGUCAUCAUGGCCCUUACGACCAGGGCUACACACGUGCUACAAUGGCGCAUACAAAGAGAAGCGACCUCGCGAGAGCAAGCGGACCUCAUAAAGUGCGUCGUAGUCCGGAUUGGAGUCUGCAACUCGACUCCAUGAAGUCGGAAUCGCUAGUAAUCGUGGAUCAGAAUGCCACGGUGAAUACGUUCCCGGGCCUUGUACACACCGCCCGUCACACCAUGGGAGUGGGUUGCAAAAGAAGUAGGUAGCUUAACCUUCGGGAGGGCGCUUACCACUUUGUGAUUCAUGACUGGGGUGAAGUCGUAACAAGGUAACCGUAGGGGAACCUGCGGUUGGA
rnacentral:rRNA from 1 species